GACUGGUCUCAGGUCCCAUGUCUAGAGAAAAGGACUCUGAAAGCUGAGCUGUCCACAGACAAGGACUUUAGAAAGCAUCGGAACCGUGUGGCCUACUUUAGCCUGUAUUACAAAUGAGAAGUAGGCACUGUCUUCAUGUGUUCUUGACCACAGAGUCUCCAGAAUUGAGGACAUAGCUGCUCUUGUAUUUCUGUGUUCCUGGGCCCUCUUGUCUGCCUAUUUGGUGUCCAGGAAGGGACAAGGGUCUCAUAGUCACGUCGCCCUCCAAAUAAAUAAAGGCUGGUCCAGAAUGUUUCUA
rnacentral:lncRNA from 1 species